AAGACGACUGUUAGCUUGAGAGGAUUAGUACCCCUGGUAGUCAUGCCGUAACGUUGAGUACUAAGUGUCGGGUUUUUUGGUUCUGUUCUUAGUCCUUUCUAAACUCUUACUGUCCCCGACUGGCGCACGCGUGCACCUUGUUAGAAUUCAAGGGAUUCCCCGGGGGCCCGGAAUCAUGUUGUAUCAUUCGAAUAUUCUCGAUGAACCUUACAAAGCCUUGACAUGUUUUUGCUAAACGAGAACACUAUCAGAGAAGGUUACCUCUUUGGAAGUGGUGCACGGUUGUCGCCUGCUCGUGUCCUGAUCUGGUCGGGUAAGGUUUAGUUAAAUCCAGAACCUUACCCAUCCCUGCUCCUACGUUGUGAUCAGGACUUUAAGGAAACUGCCGGUGAUCUGCUGGAGGAAGGUGAGAAUAAGGUCGGAUCAACAUGCCACUUAUGAGCUGGUUUAGUCAUGUGAUACACUGGCUGUUACAUGGGGUUUCUAAAGAGUAGCUAAAGAUUUUUUUUUUUUUU
rnacentral:rRNA from 1 species